ACAGACUUUCAACCUCUGUAGUAAUGUUGUGGGGGAAGUUGAGCCCAGGUCCCUAGAGCUAGCCUCCCCCUCUCUUCCCAGAGCCUCAGAGGCUAUGUAGUUGGCAUCCCCCAUAGGAUAGAUCAUUUUAAACCCACAGCGUAAGAAUGAUGGCAUUCUGCUGAGCCUUUCUCCACUCAUGGGAACUUUGCAUCUGAGUAAAAGGGAAGUCAAGACCAGGAAGCUGAUGAAUCUCGAGGGGCUACUUCCUUAAACUUUAAAGAAGCAAAGGUCCCUGUGUCAGACAGUGGAGUUGCUUCGGUUUAGAAGGAACUCAUGCAUGAUAACCAAAGAGAAAACACAGACUUACUCCUCGUUGGUUUCCAGGUUCCCUGGACCUGAGCCACGAAUGAAGAAGGGGUUGGUCCGUCAGGAAGGAAGGAUGAUUGGAGGUGCCUUGGAGCCGCCAUGUUUGAUGAGGCUGGGAGUGGCUGAGGGACGACGGAUCGGACGUUGGGAUUUGGAAGCCCGGCAUUCUACGCUGAGCGCAAACAGACCACCGAGUCGGGGCAGCCGGCCCCGCGAUGCUCUUUGGUGAAUGGUUUUGCAUCACCCCGAAGUCAGAGCGUCCCUGUCCUUGCUCUGCCUGAUCGGCACUAACCUGGCCACGCUUAUCACCCCAAAUCGGGACAUCGAGUUUUCCAUUCACGAGAAGACUCCAGCUCACGCAGUGCCUCUCUCCCUCUGUGAAGGCGAGUAACCAAGCCGAAAUGUUCAGCCAAAAAAAGCAUUUGCUGACAUCGCUUUAAAGUAAUCAUCUCCCCUCAAGGCCGGCCGCUCUUUCACGGGCACCCCAUCCUGCCGCUGGGAAAGCAAACCUUUUCUGCGCUCAUUCUGGGCUUCCACCGUAACUGUCCGGUAACUGAAAGUCAUUUUGGGUUUUAGUCACCCUCCGGGCUACGGGCCCAUUACCCAUCCACUUUGCUACUGAAAUCCGGGGUGAGGAGAGGUCCUGGGGGAGAUGUGAAGAGCCAGCGGCUGGCUUUGGCCUGAGCAGCUGAGCCUUGGCCUGCGGCCUUGGCUCCCUUGCCCCCAGGACUGAUAGAGCCUUUGCAUGUCUGUCCCCACGGCUUCUCUGUGUUCUUGGGGCCCGUGUGGACUGGUGUGGGACAGGAGGAGAGUGAGGGGGACCUGGGCCCCAUCCGGGGUCUCCAUGCUUCCAGUCUGCCUCAAGUUGUCCAGGAAAGGCUGACCCAUAUUCCACAUACCAGCUCUGAGCAGGACACAUCUGCUCACUCCUCCUCCCCUUCCUCCUCCUGUUCUCCCUCCUCCCCCUCCUCCUCCUUCCUCGGCCAACAGGGCAGCCAGACCUGCAUACCCGGUCUCUCUCGUCAGCCUGCUGGCACGAUGGGGCUCAAGGGGGCCACCAGGGGGUGAGCCCCCCCAGUCUGAACCUCCUGGCCUCCCCCCAUCGCGUGCCCUCCAGGAGCAGGGCAGUAACCAGAAGGGUACGGAAAAGUCCAUCUCUUGGGCUUGUUCACAAUUAUUUCCUUCCAGCCUUGGUUUUUGGAAUGUUUUGCUGCGUUUCUUUUGAGUGGGCAGAUGGCAGGAUGCUGGUGGUGUAAAACAGCUAUGAAAAACAAGAUGAUUCCGACAGAAGGAGUAUGUACAGCCCCUGCUGGACCAUCCCGAUAUUAAUCAGGAGAACUGGCUUUUUGUUUUUGUUUUCGUUUUUUCCCCUGGGAUCUUUAAAGUUUGCAUGCCUUCUCUCUGCUUUCCAAACAAAAAAAAAAAAAAAAAAAGGAUAAUACGUAAAUGCACCACUUUAAGGGCUUCAGCUGGGAAAGCCGGUGUCAUUUUUGGAAUUCAGUUUAUUGUGAGGAUGAGCUCGAGCUGAAGGACCUCAGAGCAAGACCCGUGGCUUUGGGGAGGAACGCGAAAAUGGAGCUUCGGGAGAGAAAAGCCGACGGCGGGUCACCAGCGAUGAUGCCCGUCCAUGGUGCAGGAGCCGUGCCUGAAAGAGAUAAUUUCAAGUUGAGCUGUGGUUUACCGCAGUGUCCUCGUGAUCGGCUGAAUGGUCAGAUGUCAGGGGUGACUGAAAAUAAGUUCAUUUUCCCACAGUGAGAGAAAAAAGAAGAAGGAGGGGAAAAAAAAAAAAGGAACAGCCCUGCCCAUAUGAAACAAAUACUUGCACAUUUCAGAGUCCGGCCGGAGCAGGCUUGAACGUGCACCAUCACGCAUGUGACUUUUGUGAAGCCAGCCGGGGAAGAAACGACAAUUUUUGCCCUGGAUUAGCCUAACACGUUACCCCUCCCCCGCCACCCCCGUUGAGCACAGACGGUCUUUCACGAGGCGAUCGCUGCGCCCCACUGUUGGGCCAACUCGGAAGAUCUUUGGGGAACGAG